AUAGUGUAAUACUCCGUAUUUUUAGUAAGUUAUUAGUUAUAUUUUUUUAAAAGGUUUUAUAUACUAAAAAGGCUUUUAUUAAUUAUUAAGGCUUUAAAUAGGCCUUUGUAUUAAAUUAUGGGGUUUUCAAAUAAAUUCUAGCCCAAAUUAUAUACUGGGCCUAAGUUUAUAACUUGUAAUCCAAGUAGUUAGAAGAUAUUUUAAAAAGAAAUUUCAAAAAGAAUUUACAAAAGGUUUAUAAAAGAAAAAAAAAAAAAAUAAAUAAAAAAAAUAAAAAUAAAAACUUUAUCACAAAGCAAACUCACGCACAGCGUGAAGUUUGUGAUUAGUUGCCUACUUGGUUAUUUGUUAUCUUUUGGUUAUUUGGUUGUUUAUCUUUUGGUUAAUUAGCAUCUAGACUAUUUAUCUUGUGGAAUAUUCCUCUAUUCUACCUAUAUUAUCAUAAAAAUAUUUUAUCCUAGCUAACAUUAAUUAUCUUUCUCAAAAAUCUAUCUUUUAGUUCCUAUUCCUAUUCUUAUCCUAUUUACCCCAACUAGUAUAAAUAGGGGUCUCCACCCACCAUAUUCUACACACCAAAUUUGAGGAAUAAAUCUAUUUUCUCAAGUUUAAACUCUCUCUCCCUCUUAGCCUACCUUCUCUAUUUUCCUCCCUAUUAGUUAUUAUUUUGAAGAUUUUUCAGGUUGACUGAUGCAUACUACAUAUGGGGAGCUAGUGAGGAUUACUACAUAGCUUAGUUUAGUAGUCAUUAUGUUUUAUAUUUCCCUUUGUCUUAGUUGAAACAAUAAUAAAUUUUUAUUUAUCAAUAAAGAGAAGUUAUU